UUUGCAAUCCCAUCAAUUGAAUGCACCAACUAAAUACCCAAUAUACUUCAUAUCAGUUCGUACAUAUAACUGAACCUUCCUAUAUAGAACUGCAACAGAGCCACCUUCUUAACGGGAAAGGUAAUUAGUCUUACUGAAACGCAAAUAUUUUCCACUAAAGCUAACCAUAUUGUCGUUUACAACUGGAGACUGAAUGUACCUUUAUUUGUUUUGUUGCAGGUAACAGCUGUGAAUUAUCCCCAGCAAUACUUAAAGAUGUCGGAUGUACGCCCUCCAAACGAGCAUGUCAGUUACCCGGGGGACCAGCCGUGGCAUGUGCCAUUCCC
rnacentral:lncRNA from 1 species